AGCAGCGUGGCUCAGUGGAAAGAGCAUGAGCUUGGGAGUCAGAGGUCAUGGGUUCUAAUCUCAACUCUGCUA
rfam:Ornithorhynchus anatinus chromosome X1, whole genome shotgun sequence.